CACUCACACACACACACACACACACACACACAGUCCUGCCAUCCAGGGAUAAGUCGAGGUAGGUGCGGACUUCUAACUACAUGGACUGACUGGAUGAGGAUCACUUGUCUGCUGAGUGAGCCACCCUGAUCCACCACACACACUCACACACACACACACACACACACACACAGUCCUGCCAUCCAGGGAUAAGUCGAGGUAGGUGCGGACUUCUAACUACAUGGACUGACUGGAUGAGGAUCACUUGUCUGCUGAGUGAGCCACCCUGAUCCACCACACACACUCACACACACACACACACACACACACACAGUCCUGCCAUCCAGGGAUAAGUCGAGGUAGGUGCGGACUUCUAACUACAUGGACUGACUGGAUGAGGGUAAUCAGGAUGGCAGAUCCCCUAAUUGGUCCUGAUCCAGAUUUAGCCCAGUCUGGUCCAGU